UGACACAGGGGGAGUCGCAUGAUCCCGCUGUCAAAUAUUCAUAGGAUAUGGAUGGGCUCGCGUGACAUUAGCUAGUUGGUGGGGUAACGGCCCACCAAGGCGACGAUGUCUAGGGGCUCUGAGAGGAGAAUCCCCCACACUGGUACUGAGACACGGACCAGACUCCUACGGGAGGCAGCAGUAAGGAAUAUUGGUCAAUGGGGGCAACCCUGAACCAGCCAUGCCGCGUGCAGGAUGACUGCCCUAUGGGUUGUAAACUGCUUUUGUUAGGGAAUAAACCCCACUACGUGUAGUGGGCUGAAUGUACCUAAAGAAUAAGGAUCGGCUAACUCCGUGCCAG
rnacentral:rRNA from 1 species